rnacentral:lncRNA from 1 species
UAAAUCAUUUGGUAACCCUGGCCCCACACUAUGUAAUGUGAUUCUGCAGGUUUUAAAAGGGUCCAUGAAAGUACAUUUUAAAUACAUCUGUCAAUGCUGAUGUAGCUUCCCCAGACCCAUCAUUAGUAGCAUUUAGCUAGAAAAAUCAGGCAUGGAACAGACUCUUACACUCAUCACUCAUCACAACACAAAUACUUCUGAUCAAAUAAACAAUCAAUCUCUAUCCUGAAAGACCACAUUCUUUGCUAGCUUUUUAAAGUUUACAGAGACAGGAGAAGGCAGCAAUGUCUGAGUAAGUCUGCACUGAAAAACAACAUGUACACAUAUACUCAUGCAAUGCUUAUUAAGUAGGUAAUAUGUGCUCAGGAGUGUGUUACAGAGCACUGUGCUGGGAACAUCACAUUAUGUGAUUUAAUCUUCGUAACAACUUGAGAGUUGGGUACUAAGUGUUCAAUAAUUCUCAGACUUUAGAUAAAGGGGCCAGCAUUGUUUUCUUCUCCUCUUUAUCUCUUGUUGAUUUUUUUUGGGGGGGGCACAGAGUGUCAACCUUGUUGCCCAGGCUGGAAGUGCAAUGGUACGAUCAAUCUUUGCUCACUGCAACCUCCACCUCCUGGAUUCAAGCAAUUCUUCUGCCUCAGCCUCCCGAGUAGUUGGGAUUACAGGCAUGCACCAUGACACUGAGCUAAGUCUGUAUUUUUAGUAGAGACAGGGUUUCUCCAUGUUGGUCAGGCUGGUCUUGAACUCCCAACCUCAAGUGAUCCGCACACCUCGGCCUCCUAAAGUGCUAGGAUUACAGGCAUGAGCCACAGAGCCCGGCCUCUCACUGGUUUUUUUUUUUAAAUGAAUAGCAUGAGAGAUAAAUAUAGACAGAUGGGAGGGAUACAGAAAGGAAAGGGUUAAGUGUAGUUCAGAGGGAUUUUUUAUUGUGUUUCUAUUUACUUUCUUGUGACUUGUGGAGUAACUACUGGGAUGGAAUGUCUCUACAAGUACUGGUUUUAAUUAAAAAGAGAUAAGACCUCAAAAUAUAUAGGUUAUUGCUGUAAUUCAUCUUCUUUUGGGUUUCAGAAUAUUGUGAGCAUAAGCUCUAGAGAGGCAGCAGGAGCUACCUCCCAAAUCUCUGGUCUCCUCUAAUGAGUUCUGUGAGGAGAGACUCCAGGGUGGGACCAGAUCUGAAUGAGGCUCAGAAAAGGGUGAAUCUGGACAGAGCUGGGGUGGAGAAGUGGUCCUAUGUUGAAUUAUGAUCUCUAUGGUGCUGGAGUACUUCUUGUUCUGUCUUUCCUAAGCCUGUCCAAGAGAAACUUAAGAGUUUGUAUAAUUUUAAUCCAUUUAGCCACUACUCUAUUUUAUAACAUAUAAUAACAAACAAUUUAAGCAAAAUUUUUAGGGCUUUCUAGGAUAAUUUUAUUAGAAAAUAUGUAUUCUUAGCAAGGUAAAAGCAAUAGAAAUACAAAUAACUCUCC